UUGUUGAGACUGUUGCGAAAGUGGCUUGGAACCGAGGUUUUAGCUGCCGUGAUUUUGAUUGUUGAUCUCGGGUCGAGGCAGAAAGGAUUAUGUGACGCGUUUGGGUUAUGGAAUUGGCGUUUUGAGUAAUUCCCAAAAACCCUCUACUGAGAACCCUUUCGAGGAUGAUGUUCUCACCCCCUACAUUUUUCCCCUUUCAGGAUUUGGGCGCAGAAGUUAUGAAGAGUUUAAUUAUUUGUUAUUGAGAUGCUCUGUAUUGCUUUAGAUUAUUAUUUUUGUACCCUCGCCCUUAUCUUGAUAUAUUCUGCGAGAGGGAUAGGAAUUGUACUGGAUAAUGUUUGUAAUAUUAUUUAUAUAUAUGUAUGUAUAUAUAUAUGGAUGUACUCUUUAUGAGUUUCUGUAAGUUGUAUGGUAUGUAUGGACGUACGUUGUAUGGCGAAAGUAUUUUUGGGAAUGGUAUUGCGGUUUAAAGUUUUUAAA